rnacentral:rRNA from 1 species
UACGGGGGGGGGUAAGCGUUGUUCGGAAUUACUGGGCGUAAAGGGCUCGUAGGCGGCCAACUAAAGUCAGACGUGAAAUCCCUCAGCUUAACUGGGGAACUGCGUCUGAUACUGGAUGGCUUGGAUUUGGGAGAGGGAUGCGGAAUUCCAGGUGUAGCGGUGAAAUGCGUAGAUAUCUGGAGGAACACCGGUGGCGAAGGCGGCAUCCUGGACCAAUAUUGACGCUGAGGAGCGAAAGCCAGGGGAGCAAGCAGGG